rnacentral:rRNA from 1 species
CCUACGGGGGGCAGCAGUGAGGAAUAUUGGUCAAUGGACGGAAGUCUGAACCAGCCAUGCCGCGUGCAGGAAGACGGCUCUAUGAGUUGUAAACCUCUUUUAUGCGGGGAUAAAGGUGUCCACGGGUGGCUGUUUGCAGGUACCGCAUGAAUAAGGACCGGCUAAUUCCGUGCCAGCAGCCGCGGUAAUACGGAGGGUCCGGGCGUUAUCCGGAUUUAUUGGGUUUAAAGGGAGCGUAGGCCGGUCUUCAAGCGUGCCGUGAAAUUUUGGGGCUCAACCAUGGGCGUGCGGCGCGAACUGGAGACCUUGAGUGCGCGGGAGGUAUGCGGAAUUCGUGGUGUAGCGGUGAAAUGCUUAGAUAUCACGAAGAACCCCGAUUGCGAAGGCAGCCUGCCGCAGCGUUACUGACGCUGAAGCUCGAAAGCGCGGGUAUCGAACAGGAUUAGAUACCCCGGUAGUC